rnacentral:rRNA from 1 species
GAGUUUGAUCCUGGCUCAGAACGAACGCUGGCGGCAUGCCUAACACAUGCAAGUCGAACGAGAUCUUCGGAUCUAGUGGCGCACGGGUGCGUAACGCGUGGGAAUCUGCCCCUUGCUUCGGAAUAACAGUGAGAAAUUGCUGCUAAUACCGGAUGAUGUCUUCGGACCAAAGAUUUAUCGGCAAGGGAUGAGCCCGCGUAGGAUUAGGUAGUUGGUGGGGUAAUGGCCUACCAAGCCGACGAUCCUUAGCUGGUCUGAGAGGAUGAUCAGCCACACUGGGACUGAGACACGGCCCAGACUCCUACGGGAGGCAGCAGUGGGGAAUAUUGGACAAUGGGGGAAACCCUGAUCCAGCAAUGCCGCGUGAGUGAUGAAGGCCUUAGGGUUGUAAAGCUCUUUUACCAGGGAUGAUAAUGACAGUACCUGGAGAAUAAGCUCCGGCUAACUCCGUG